GUGGGGAAUAUUGGACAAUGGGCGCAAGCCUGAUCCAGCCAUGCCGCGUGUGUGAAGAAGGCCUUUUGGUUGUAAAGCACUUUAAGCGAGGAGGAGGCUCCUUUAGUUAAUACCUAAAGAGAGUGGACGUUACUCGCAGAAUAAGCACCGGCUAACUCUGUGCCAGCAGCCGCGGUAAUACAGAGGGUGCGAGCGUUAAUCGGAUUUACUGGGCGUAAAGCGUGCGUAGGCGGCUUUUUAAGUCGGAUGUGAAAUCCCUGAGCUUAACUUAGGAAUUGCAUUCGAUACUGGAAAGCUAGAGUAUGGGAGAGGAUGGUAGAAUUCCAGGUGUAGCGGUGAAAUGCGUAGAGAUCUGGAGGAAUACCGAUGGCGAAGGCAGCCAUCUGGCCUAAUACUGACGCUGAGGUACGAAAGCAUGGGGAGCAAACAGGAUUAGAAACCCGAGUAGUCC
rnacentral:rRNA from 1 species